CUGAGAAUUUAUAGUUUCACUUCAUUUCAUUUUCCAACCAGUUUCCAAAGAUGCUGCAGUGUAAAAAUUGGUGCCACGACCCUGCAUCCCUUACAGGCCGGGUGUGGCGACUCAGAAAAACCAGAGAAAUCUCUGUAGGGAUGACAGUCCUUCAGGUCCUCAGCUGGUGCAGCACUACAAUCUUCACAAGGACUCAGGACCACUUUAAAUCCAACAUCAGCACACAGUGAACACGGCCCACUGCUGCAAAUACAAAACUCUACCACGAAAGGAGAAAGGAAUUUAUAUAAAAAAGAUGGAGCAGUCGCCUUCUCUGGAUCCAAACUGCACUCCUGAAUCACAAAUCUUAGACAAGUCUAAGAGGAGAGAGACCACCAAACAGAUGAUGGUUCUUUCAUGUUUCAGCCUAACAACGCAAAAAUAAAUACUGUGCACAUUACAACAGCUUUCAAAACCACAGCAAAUGCUCCCAUGGUUGUAUUGUUGUAAUAAUUUAAACACGUAGCUGGAACUAAAUUAAAAUUAUUUUCCAAGAAACAA